rnacentral:tRNA from 1 species
GCCGCCUUAGCUCAGUGGUAGAGCUUCGGUUUUGUAAACCGAGGGUCGCCGGUUCGAGUCCGGCAGGCGGCU